CCUUUCGGGGUACACGAGCGGCGAACGGGUGAGUAACACGUGGGUGAUCUGCCCUGCACUUCGGGAUAAGCCUGGGAAACUGGGUCUAAUACCGGAUAUGACCUCCGAUCGCAUGGUUGGUGGUGGAAAGAUUUAUCGGUGCAGGAUGGGCCCGCGGCCUAUCAGCUUGUUGGUGGGGUAAUGGCCUACCAAGGCGACGACGGGUAGCCGACCUGAGAGGGUGACCGGCCACACUGGGACUGAGACACGGCCCAGACUCCUACGGGAGGCAGCAGUGGGGAAUAUUGCACAAUGGGCGAAAGCCUGAUGCAGCGACGCCGCGUGAGGGAUGACGGCCUUCGGGUUGUAAACCUCUUUCAGCAGGGACGAAGCGCAAGUGACGGUACCUGCAGAAGAAGCACCGGCUAACUACGUGCCAGCAGCCGCGGUAAUACGUAGGGUGCAAGCGUUGUCCGGAAUUACUGGGCGUAAAGAGUUCGUAGGCGGUUUGUCGCGUCGUUUGUGAAAUCUCACAGCUCAACUGUGAGCUUGCAGGCGAUACGGGCAGACUUGAGUACUGCAGGGGAGACUGGAAUUCCUGGUGUAGCGGUGAAAUGCGCAGAUAUCAGGAGGAACACCGGUGGCGAA
rnacentral:rRNA from 1 species